rnacentral:rRNA from 1 species
UGGCGGCAGGCUUAACACAUGCAGUCGAGCGGUAACAGGGGGUGCUUGCACCCCGCUGACGAGCGGCGGACGGGUGAGUAAUGCAUAGGAAACUGCCCAGUAGUGGGGGAUAGCCCGGGGAAACCCGGAUUAAUACCGCGUACGCCCUUCGGGGGAAAGCAGGGGAUCUUCGGACCUUGCGCUAUUGGAUGUGCCUAUGUCGGAUUAGCUAGUUGGUGGGGUAAAGGCCUACCAAGGCGACGAUCCGUAGCUGGUCUGAGAGGAUGAUCAGCCACAUCGGGACUGAGACACGGCCCGUACUCCUACGGGAGGCAGUAGUGGGGAAUAUUGGACAAUGGGGGCAACCCUGAUCCAGCCAUGCCGCGUGUGUGAAGAAUGCUUUCGGGUUGUUAGCAUUUUCAGUGAGGAGGAAAACUCUGCGACUAAUACUCGUAGGGUUG